rnacentral:rRNA from 1 species
GACGAACCGUGCGAACGUUGUUCGUAAUCACUGGGCUUAAAGGGCGCGUAGGCGGGUCAUCAAGUCCGGGGUGAAAUCCUUCGGCUUAACCGGAGCAGGGCUUCGGAUACUGGUGACCUCGAGGGGUGUAGGGGCAUGUGGAACUUCCGGUGGAGCGGUGAAAUGCGUAGAUAUCGGAAGGAACGCCGGUGGCGAAAGCGACGUGCUGGACACCUUCUGACGCUGAGGCACGAAGGUCAGGGGAGCAAACGGG